rnacentral:rRNA from 1 species
CCCUUAGAUGUCCGGGGCUGCACGCGCGCUACACUGUAGAAAGCAGCGUGCUUUAAAACCUUUCCUGAAAAGGAUGGGUAACCCCAGCAAAAUUCUACGUGCUUGGGAUAGAGAUUUGCAAUUUUCUCUCUUGAACGAGGAAUUCCCAGUAAGUGCGAGUCAUCAGCUCGCGUUGAUUACGUCCCUGCCCUUUGUACACACCGCCCGUCGCUCCUACUGAUUGGGUGAUCCGGUGAGCUGUUCGGCCAUAGCAAUGUUUCUUGAGCAGGGCAAUGAAUGUUUCGCAAACCUUGCCACUUAGAGGAAGGAGAAGUCGUAACA